rnacentral:tRNA from 1 species
AUAUAUGAAGUAAUAAAUACAUCUAAUUUCGACUUAGAAUAAAGAUUUAAAAAAUAAUCCAUAUAUU